CUCUUUGAACCAGACAGGGUGUGACCAUCUGUUUGACAAGGAAAUCACCUUACAUUUUCAUUACCCAAAAGAUCAUGGAAGCAUGGUCUUCGCAGGAACUUCGGUCUUACUGAGGGCUCACGGGCGGUCGGAGUUCAAUGGAGGAAAGAAAGGAUCCAUAGCUGCAGAGACAUGAUCCAUGUGGGAGGACGCAGAGACACUCAACCUGGUUUAGACAGCGCACCAUAUAUACGUGUACAGAAACA